rnacentral:rRNA from 1 species
AGCCGCGGUAAGACGUAGGGGGCAAGCGUUACCCGGAAUUACUGGGCGUAAAGGGAGCGUAGGCGGGAGGUCAAGUCCGGUGUGAAAGUCCCUGGCUCAACCAGGGGAUAGGGCUGGAAACUGACAAUCUUGAGUACAGCAGAGGAAGAGGGAAUUACCGGUGUAGGGGUGAAAUCCGUAGAGACCGGUAGGAAGGCCAGUGGCGAAGGCGCUUUUCUGGGCUGUUACUGACGCUGAGGCUCGAAAGCCAGGGGAGCAAACCGGAUUAGAUACCCGGGUAGUCCUGGCCGUAAACGAUGCUCACUAGGUGUGGGGCACAGAGCGUGUUCUGCGCUGAAGCAAACGCAAUAAGUGAGCCGCCUGGGGAGUACGUCCGCAAGGAUGAAACUCAAAGGAAUUGACGGGGGCCCGCACAAGCGGUGGAGCGUGUGGUUUAAUUCGACGUUAAGCGAAGAACCUUACCAGGUCUUGACAUAUCCGUGGUAGUGAACUGAAAGGGGAACGACGGAGGCGAAUGCCUUCGAGCGGAUACAGGUGGUGCAUGGCC